GACGAACGCUGGCGGCGUGCCUAAUACAUGCAAGUCGAGCGGACUUUAAGAGUGCUUGCACACUUAAAGUUAGCGGCGAACGGGUGAGUAACACGUAAAGAACCUACCUUAUAGACAGGGACAACUAUUGGAAACGAUAGCUAAUACCUGAUAAGAAAGAAACUCGCAUGAGAGAAAAUCGAAAGUCGGAGCAAUCUGACACUAUAAGAUGGCUUUGCGGUGCAUUAGCUAGUUGGUAGGGUAAAAGCCUACCAAGGCGACGAUGCAUAGCCGACCUGAGAGGGUGAUCGGCCACAUUGGGACUGAGACACGGCCCAGACUCCUACGGGAGGCAGCAGUAGGGAAUCUUCCGCAAUGGACGAAAGUCUGACGGAGCAACGCCGCGUGAGUGAAGAAGGAUUUCGGUUCGUAAAACUCUGUUGUUAGGGAAGAAAAAAUGUAUAGUAACUAUAUACAAAAGAGACGGUACCUAACCAGAAAGCCACGGCUAACUACGUGCCAGCAGCCGCGGUAAUACGUAGGUGGCAAGCGUUGUCCGGAAUUAUUGGGCGUAAAGCGCGCGCAGGUGGUUUAGAAAGUCUGAUGUGAAAGCCCACGGCUCAACCGUGGAGGGUCAUUGGAAACUAAUAAACUUGAGUGCAGGAGAGAAAAGUGGAAUUCCUAGUGUAGCGGUGAAAUGCGUAGAGAUUAGGAGGAACACCGGUGGCGAAAGCGGCUUUUUGGCCUGCAACUGACACUGAGGCGCGAAAGCGUGGGAGCAAACAGGAUUAGAUACCCUGGUAGUCCAAGGGCGAAUUCCACAGUGGAUAUCAAGCUUAUCGAUACCGUCGACUCGAGGGGGGCCCGGUACCCAUUUUUGUUCCCUUUAUGAGGGUU
rnacentral:rRNA from 1 species